UCCUCUCACGUUGCCUCUGGGAUUGCCUC
rnacentral:sRNA from 1 species